rnacentral:rRNA from 1 species
GAUGAACGCUGGCGGCGUGCCUAAUACAUGCAAGUCGAGCGAACGGACGAGAAGCUUGCUUCUCUGAUGUUAGCGGCGGACGGGUGAGUAACACGUGGAUAACCUACCUAUAAGACUGGGAUAACUUCGGGAAACCGGAGCUAAUACCGGAUAAUAUUUUGAACCGCAUGGUUCAAAAGUGAAAGACGGUCUUGCUGUCACUUAUAGAUGGAUCCGCGCUGCAUUAGCUAGUUGGUAAGGUAACGGCUUACCAAGGCAACGAUGCAUAGCCGACCUGAGGGGGUGAUCGGCCACACUGGAACUGAGACACGGUCCAGACUCCUACGGGAGGCAGCAGUAGGGAAUCUUCCGCAAUGGGCGAAAGCCUGACGGAGCAACGCCGCGUGAGUGAUGAAGGUCUUCGGAUCGUAAAACUCUGUUAUUAGGGAAGAACAUAUGUGUAAGUAACUGUGCACAUCUUGACGGUACCUAAUCAGAAAGCCACGGCUAACUACGUGCCAGCAGCCGCGGUAAUACGUAGGUGGCAAGCGUUAUCCGGAAUUAUUGGGCGUAAAGCGCGCGUAGGCGGUUUUUUAAGUCUGAUGUGAAAGCCCACGGCUCAACCGUGGAGGGUCAUUGGAAACUGGAAAACUUGAGUGCAGAAGAGGAAAGUGGAAUUCCAUGUGUAGCGGUGAAAUGCGCAGAGAUAUGGAGGAACACCAGUGGCGAAGGCGACUUUCUGGUCUGUAACUGACGCUGAUGUGCGAAAGCGUGGGGAUCAAACAGGAUUAGAUACCCUGGUAGUCCACGCCGUAAACGAUGAGUGCUAAGUGUUAGGGGGUUUCCGCCCCUUAGUGCUGCAGCUAACGCAUUAAGCACUCCGCCUGGGGAGUACGACCGCAAGGUUGAAACUCAAAGGAAUUGACGGGGACCCGCACAAGCGGUGGAGCAUGUGGUUUAAUUCGAAGCAACGCGAAGAACCUUACCAAAUCUUGACAUCCUUUGACAACUCUAGAGAUAGAGCCUUCCCCUUCGGGGGACAAAGUGACAGGUGGUGCAUGGUUGUCGUCAGCUCGUGUCGUGAGAUGUUGGGUUAAGUCCCGCAACGAGCGCAACCCUUAAGCUUAGUUGCCAUCAUUAAGUUGGGCACUCUAAGUUGACUGCCGGUGACAAACCGGAGGAAGGUGGGGAUGACGUCAAAUCAUCAUGCCCCUUAUGAUUUGGGCCACACACGUGCUACAAUGGACAAUACAAAGGGCAGCGAAACCGCGAGGUCAAGCAAAUCCCAUAAAGUUGUUCUCAGUUCGGAUUGUAGUCUGCAACUCGACUACAUGAAGCUGGAAUCGCUAGUAAUCGUAGAUCAGCAUGCUACGGUGAAUACGUUCCCGGGUCU